CAAGUUUACUUUCAUCUACUUGUUGGGUAGCUCCCCCCUUGCGGUUAGGCUAACUACUUCUGGUAAAACCCACUCCCAUGGUGGGACGGGCGGUGUGUACAAGACCCGGGAACGUAUUCACCGCGACAUGCUGAUCCGCGAUUACUAGCGAUUCCGACUUCAUGCAGGCGAGUUGCAGCCUGCAAUCCGGACUACAAUCGGGUUUCUGAGAUUGGCUCCACCUCGCGGUUUGGCAACCCUCUGUCCCGACCAUUGUAUGACGUGUGAAGCCCUACCCAUAACCACCAGGAGGACUGAACCUAAUCCCCACCUACCUCCGGUUCUGCACCGGAAGUUAUAGAUGACCCAACUGAACACUGGCAAGCUAAUGCAAGGGUAUGCGCUCGUUGCGGGACUUAGACACCAACAAUCUUCACGACACGAGCUGCACGACAGCCACGCAGCUACCUGUGUUCCGGAACGCUGGCGAGCAAUCCUUCUAGCUCUAAAGGAGUACCUCAAACACUCAAGGGUAGUGUAAGGCUGUUGCGUUGCAUAGAAUUAAUCCACAUCAUCCACCGCGUGUGCGGGUCACCGUCAAUUCUUUAAACUUUUAAUCUGCGACCGCACUCCCCAGGGCGGUCAACUUCACGGUUACAUACGCGACUAAGCACCGAAGGGCCCAACAACUAGUGACAUCGUGUAGGGAGUGGAAUACCAGGGUAUCUAAUCCUGUUCGCUACCCACGCUUUCGCGCAUGAGCGUCAGUACUAGCCCAGGGGGCUGCCUUCGCCAUCGGUAUUCCUCCGCAUAUCAACGCAUUUCAACGCUACAAACGGAAUUCUACUCCCCUCCGACAUACUCUAGUCCGGUAGUUAAGAAUGACACCUCCAAGGUUGAGCCCUGGGAUUUCACAUCCUACUUUACGAACCGCCUGCGCACGCUUUACGCCCAAUAAUUCCGAUUAACGCUCGCACCCUACGUAUUACCGCGGCUGAUGGCACGUAGUAAGCCCGUGCUUAUUCUUCAGGUAACGUCAACAGUCCACGUAUUAACCGAAACCUUUUCUUCCCUGACAAAAGUACUUCACAAACCGAAGCCUUCAUCGCACACGCGGGAUGGCUGCAUCAAGUUCCCCAAUUGACCAAAAUCCAACUGCUGCCUCCCGUAAGAGACAAGCCCGACUCUCAGUCCCAGUGUGGCUGGUCGUCCUCUCAAACCAGCUACGGAUCGUCGCCUUGGUAGGCCAUUACCCCACCAACUAGCUAAUCCGAGAUCGGCCGCUCCAAUAGUGAGAGGUUCCGAAGAAUCCCCCCCUUUCCCCCGUAGGGCGUAUGCGGUAUUAGCUGACCUUUUGGCCAGUUAUCCCCCUACUGGGCACGUUCCGAUACAUUACUCACCCGUUCGCCACUCGCCGGCAAAGUAAGCAAGCUUUCUUCCCGCUGCCGCUCGACUUGCAUGUGAAAGGCAUGCAGGCAAAAGGCCC
rnacentral:rRNA from 1 species